rnacentral:lncRNA from 1 species
UUACUCUGCAGCUAGGUUUCUGAAAACUCCUGUGAUUCAUACACGAACCAUAAAUGAUUUGAAAAAAUUCAUCACAUACUAUUGAAGAGCAUUAAAAUUCCUAACAGAUUUAAUAGUACAUUAUAGCUUUUCAAUUCAAUAACUACACGAAAAAAAAGGUAAACUUACAAGAUCAAAAUAACUAGGUCGUCCCGGAAGCCAGAAAAACUUCUCCAGGCAAGGUUAUUCAACAAAUCCCGCCCGUGGCGCGGCUGUAGUUUCCUAUCAGCUACGUUUUUAAGUUAGUGAAGUCAUCUUUUGGACCUUGAAACGUUGAAACUAACGCUGAAACUGCCAUGUGGCCGUAUUAGCAGCACUGGCCGUAUAACCCUCAGUUACCUUACUAUGGCAAGGUAUCUCAAAACCUGAUUUUAAAUUAGUAAUGUAAUAAUAGCUUUUAUAAAACUGAUGCCAUUAUUAUUUUGUUUUUCUCAUUGAGACAGAUUGCGAUUGGUAAAUUUAUAUUUGCUCAGCUGAAGCUCGGGAAUUCUGUUAUUAUUGCAGUUUGAUCUAUAUGACAAGCGAAUUACGUUGAUUUUUCUACAACAAUCAUAAAAUCGAUAAAUUCAGUUGAUUAGAAAAAAUGAAGAUCACAAUCCUAUUAUGUUUUUUCAUAAUGUGUUCAAUUUUAUCUGGAAGGAGCGAAAACAUGGGAAAUGAAUCGAUUGUCACCGAUGGAACAUUAAGGGCCAGUGAAACGGAUCAGAUUUUACAGGCAUUAGAGAAACUAGAGAACAAAGUAAAAAACUUUGCAAAAUCUGCAAUUCAGUUUGGUCUUCCUUUCUUCAUGAGAACUGCUGAAGAAGCGAAUUUGUCUCAUUCGUGUAAUAAAACUGG